rnacentral:rRNA from 1 species
UACAGAGGGGGCAAGCGUUAUUCGGAAUUAUUGGGCGUAAAGGGCGCGUAGGCGGCUUUGCAAGUGACGGGUGAAAUCCCUCGGCUUAACCGAGGAACUGCCUGUCAAACUGCAUGGCUUGAGACCGGGAGAGGUGAGUGGAAUUCCCAGUGUAGCGGUGAAAUGCGUAGAUAUUGGGAGGAACACCAGUGGCGAAGGCGGCUCACUGGACCGGUACUGACGCUGAUGCGCGAAAGCGUGGGGAGCGAACAGG